CUCAGGAUGAACGCUGGCGGCGUGCUUAACACAUGCAAGUCGAACGAUGACUUCUGUGCUUGCACAGAAUGAUUAGUGGCGAACGGGUGAGUAACACGUGAGUAACCUGCCCUUGACUCUGGGAUAAGCCUGGGAAACCGGGUCUAAUACCGGAUACGACCAUCUGACGCAUGUCAUGGUGGUGGAAAGCUUUAGCGGUUUUGGAUGGACUCGCGGCCUAUCAGCUUGUUGGUGGGGUAAUGGCCUACCAAGGCGACGACGGGUAGCCGGCCUGAGAGGGUGACCGGCCACACUGGGACUGAGACACGGCCCAGACUCCUACGGGAGGCAGCAGUGGGGAAUAUUGCACAAUGGGCGCAAGCCUGAUGCAGCGACGCCGCGUGAGGGAUGACGGCCUUCGGGUUGUAAACCUCUUUCAGCAGGGAAGAAGCGCAAGUGACGGUACCUGCAGAAGAAGCGCCGGCUAACUACGUGCCAGCAGCCGCGGUAAUACGUAGGGCGCAAGCGUUAUCCGGAAUUAUUGGGCGUAAAGAGCUCGUAGGCGGUUUGUCGCGUCUGCUGUGAAAGCCCGGGGCUCAACCCCGGGUCUGCAGUGGGUACGGGCAGACUAGAGUGCAGUAGGGGAGACUGGAAUUCCUGGUGUAGCGGUGAAAUGCGCAGAUAUCAGGAGGAACACCGAUGGCGAAGGCAGGUCUCUGGGCUGUAACUGACGCUGAGGAGCGAAAGCAUGGGGAGCGAACAGGAUUAGAUACCCUGGUAGUCCAUGCCGUAAACGUUGGGCACUAGGUGUGGGGGACAUUCCACGUUUUCCGCGCCGUAGCUAACGCAUUAA
rnacentral:rRNA from 1 species